AAAGGGCCGCGGUAUUUUGACCGUGCGAAGGUAGCAUAAUCAAUAGUCUUUUAAUUGAAGGCUGGAAUGAACGGUUGGACGAAGGACAAACUGUUUCUUACUCAUUAUUUGAAUUUAACCUUUAAGUGAAAAGGCUUAAAUAGCACAGGAGGACGAUAAGACCCUAUAAAUCUUAACGUUAAUUUAAAAUCUUGAGGAUAGAUAGAUGGUUAUUUUUUUUAUUAGAUUUAAUUACGUUUUGUUGGGGCGACAUAAAUAGAAAAUAAUCUGUUUAAUAGUAUUACACAAAUAGGUGAAUAUAUUAAAUUAAGAUCCUUAUUAUAGAAUAUAAGAUAAAGUUACUUUAGGGAUAACAGCGUUAUUUUACUUGAGAGUUCCUAUCAAAAGUAAAGUUUGCGACCUCGAUGUUGAAUUAAAUAUUCCCUUAUGGUGCAGCAGCUAUAAAGGAGAGUCUGUUCGACUUUUNAAAUUUUACAUGAUUU
rnacentral:rRNA from 1 species